rnacentral:rRNA from 1 species
GAUGAACGCUGGCGGCGUGCUUAAUACAUGCAAGUCGAGCGAACAGACCAUGCUCUUGCUGCUCUCUCGUUAGCGGCAGACGUGUGUGUAACGCGUGUAUCCCCUCCCUAUCAUACUGGUAUAACUUCGGAACACCGGCGCUAAUCCCGGAUAAUCUCUUGAACCACAUUGUUCAUUAGUGAAAUACGGUUUUGCUGUCACUUCUAGCGGGAUCCCCGCUGCAUUAGCUAGUUGUUAAGGUAACGGCUUACCAAGGCAACGAUGCCUAGCCGACGUGAGGGGGGGAUAGGCCACACGGGAACGUAGACAGGGACAAGAGUACUACGGGAGGGAGCAGAAGGGAAUGUUCCGCAAUGGUGGAAAGCCUGACGGAGCAACGCCGCGCGAGUGAUGAAGGUCUUCGGAUCGUAAAAAUCUGUUAUGAGGGAAGAACAGAUGUGUAAGGAACUGUGCACUGAGUGACGGUAACGAAUAAGAAAGCCACGGCUAACUACGUG